GACUCAGUGUUGUGGUGGAAUUAGCACGCGUCCACGGUAUGGAUGAAAUGCGGGUUCGAUUCCCGCCUGAGGCCA